rnacentral:rRNA from 1 species
AUUAUGGAGAGUUUGAUCCUGGCUCAGAGUGAACGCUGGCGGCGUGCCUAACACAUGCAAGUCGAACGAUGAAGUCUAGCUUGCUAGACGGAUUAGUGGCGCACGGGUGAGUAAUGUAUAGCUAACUUGCCCCUUACAAGAGGACAACAGCUAGAAAUGGCUGCUAAUACUCUAUACUCCGCUUUAACAUAAGUUAAGGUGGGAAAGUUUUUCGGUAAGGGAUAGGGCUAUAUUGUAUCAGCUAGUUGGUAAGGUAAU